UCGGAUAUGGUGUAAUGGCCAACAUUGCCGCCUCUCAUAAGUGCACAAUGAUCUGUGCGCGGCAGCUCGGGGUUCGAUUCCCCGUAUCUGAA